GAAAACAGAAGGCCAAGGCACCCACUGAUAAAAUUUUUACUGUUCUCCCUCCCGGCACAGAAAAGAGAAAAGAAACAUGGAGAGUGGAUCUUCAGGGGCAAAUGGAAGAUGAUCAUCUCAGUUGAAUAAAGAAACAACCAAAAUGCUGAAUUUGAAGAUUUCAAAUGAGAAGCAGUUUCUUUCCCUCACAUUCAAGUGCAGGAAGAAAUUUUUGUUGUUGAGAAUGUUAAGUGUCCAAAUCAUCUCUGAGCCCAGUUCAUGGUCAGCACUUGAAGGAAACAGUUUGAGACAGCAGGAGUCUCUUAAACCAUCCCACCACAAAUCUAUUACAAUAUAA
rnacentral:lncRNA from 1 species